AUAUAUAUAAUAGAAAAAUAAUCAUAAGAUAAAAAAGGCAAAUAUUUGAAUACAUUUACAAUGCGAAAGCGAAGCAUAGUCACAGUCGCCAAAGAAGUCGCUCGGCGGCCGACCCACUUAUGUUUAUUUGGCAAUCAGGAAAGCGAAUCAACAAGUGGUUGGCGAUAAUUCAAAACAAACAGUAGCAGAGAUUAUCAAGGGAUUACUGUAUUCAGGUAUUUAGUUACCAGUUGCUUUGAAAACGAGCAAUUAUUGUGCCGUUAUAACAAGGAUAUAAAUAGAUAUAAAUUCUUCUUCGAUGAAUGAUUCAUGCGGUACCCAACUAUUAUACUUGUUAACCUAUCCGCUUUUUUGUAAGUGAAAUGAAACUGAAACUCCUGCUUAGGUCAAAAUGUAUUCAGAUCUAAUAGCUGUAACAGUUGUUUGUGAAAUAAUCCAAUUUUAAUAAAGUCGUGAUACAGACAUGUUCCAAAUAAUACCAAGUAUUCGCAGUUUAUAAAUGUUGUAAUCACUUGUUUAGUUAUUACCGAUUGUAAAAUACUGUAUAUUUCGAACAAGUUACGUGUAUCAUGAGAUUGAUGUCUUGUU